GGGGAGGUAGCUCAGUGGGUAGAGUACAUGUCUUAUACACAUGACCCCCCCCCCCA
rnacentral:tRNA from 1 species